rnacentral:lncRNA from 1 species
UGCAAGUCGCCAUGUCUCUUACUCUGAUCAAGGCUGCAACUGCAAAUCUCAAUUCUCUACAUAUGAAGACUAAGACGAAGAUGAAGAAGAUUUUAGGAUUCGAGCUAUCAUCAUCACUAAAGGGACGUUCUCUACAGCCUAUACAUUGCACACCUCUCCAAGAAAUCGAACAGCAGGUAUGGUAUCAUAGAUCUCUCUCUCUCUCUCUCUCUCUCUCUCUCAUAUCUCUACGAAAUAGUCCUUAAUUCAAUUGGACUAAUUGGACAUUUCUUAAUCCUACUGGGAGGCUGUUUAACCCAACAGAAACGAUCAGGUCAAGCAUUUUUUUUCAUAACCUUUUAGUCUAACUUGUACACCUGUAACAUGUUUUGAGAGAGACCAGCCUAAAGGAAUACACAUAAAUCUAGGCAAA